GGGCGGUUAGCUCAGUUGGAUAGAGUACAGGCCUCCGAAGCCUGGGGUCGCGGGUUCGAAUCCCGCAUCGCCCGCCA
rnacentral:tRNA from 5 species